CAUGAUUGGAUGAGGUCAUAGAAGUUUGGCUUCUCUCAUUGACCUGGAAGGAUGCCGUCAUCCACUCUGACCUGCAAACCUUUUGAUCUCAAACAGCGAUCUUCCAGGCGUGGCCCCAAAUCAACAGCAUCAGCGUCACCCAGGAGCUGCCUGAAGCCCUCUUGUGGGAAGCAAGUUUGUCUGCUCCUUUCUGUGAGACGUUCCCAGUCACUGGCUCACCCUGGGAGAGACAGUACGCGUGUUCUAAGCUACCAACAGACUUCCUCAGAUGCAGUGAGUCAGUACAAACACACAGGCAAGGUUGAAGAACUCUAUGGCCUUCGUCUCUCUUGGCUCAGCCAGGCACAGUUCCUCUUAGCCCAAGACAAAACAGCCUAUGCUGUUAAAUCAGUGGUUCUACCAGCUUCCAAUCAUAAAACCAAGGGGCAAUAAUACAUAAAAUUGGAACUUAUA
rnacentral:lncRNA from 1 species